UCAGAGAGUGCCUUGGAGAGUGAGAUGUCUCUCUUUUUCUCUGGAUUAUUUCUGUUUUAUUAGAAUUUUCUUUUUAUCUCUCUGUUGAUUCCUGAAAUAGGGGAGCAUUUUGGGGGGUGGGGUAGCGGAAAUAUGAAUUUGGAGUAUAUCAGAGAGCAGAAAUUACCAAUUUUUAAUUAUUUGUGGUUAUUUGUGCGUCAAUUGGGCAUUUAGACGUCUCUCGUUAUAUAUAUUUGAAUGUGACAAUGGUAUAUCAGCAGUGGCACAUUAAGUGGUUGUUGG
rnacentral:misc_RNA from 1 species